CAUGUCCCUCAGCUCCCAUCCCCUCCUUCUUCCCUGCCCUGAGAGCCAUCCGGGUUUCCUUUCCAGUCUCCCUCUGCUCCUGUGCUUUCUUCCCCUUCCCUCACUUCCCCUGCUCUGUCUUCUCCUCAGUUCCCCGCCCUCCCUCUCUGCACCUGCCCAGUUUCCCCCAUCUCCCCUCCAUGCUCCCUUCCUCCCCAGCUCCUGAGUUGGACCACCUCAGCUCAGCGCCCUACUUCCUGUGCCUGCCCCUGCCUGCUGCCCACCAUCCCUGCACACAGCUCACUCCUCCCUCUGGCCCUCCUGCUGAGCAGGCGGCUCCCCCACUGCCCUGGGCCUGCCCACCUUCCCCAGCCCCCGCAGUCAAGGCUCUCCAACUCCACACCACCGGGGUGAGGGCAGAGAGGCACCCUCUCCAGGGCUGCGCUUCCUCCAGCAGGGCCUGUGUCCUCACCUCCAACGUGAAGAUCAGGCUGGGCCAUUAUUGCAGAGCUGUGCUGAGUGUUGAAGAAGUCUCUGAGAAAAGCCCUUUCAUCUGUCAAGAACUACAAAAGUCAUUCUUUAAGUGCUAAAUAAACAAUGAAACAGACACAAAGUUAAAGUUACCUGAUCCAAAAAGGAGUGAAGCCUAGACCCCAGCCCACUGACUCAGUCUCUAAGACCCCUCACUCAAAUCUUCAAUCAACAGUGGAGAUGGCUGUGAGCUCUUCUGAUUCCAGAUGACAAUACUCCUCCCUUUAAUUCCUUGAUAUGUUUAAUUAUGUAAGUAAAUUUAAUAUAAAAAUCAUUGCAUUAGAGUUCAUUGUUUUUAUACAAGAUUCAGUGUGAGAUCAAUGUUAUACUUCCAAUUUGUCACACUUACAGAGAACUGAGAAGAAUCACAUUAUUUAAAAUCUUAGCAAAUGUGCAUAAUUCCUUUGGAUAAUUUUAAAGUGAUAGGAUUGGAUCACAUAUGAUGCAAUUGCCUGGGUCUGUUUUGUUUUUAGUUGUAUUUGUCUCUCAUAUUGUGAAUCUCAUAUUUAUGUGACUAAUUAUCAGAAGAUUUUAUCUUUAUUAUGCAUAUUUAGUAUAAAAUGAUCAUACAGUGAAGAGUGUGUAAAAUCAAAAUAAAAUGCCAUUCAUCACCUCUGGCUCUCAUUCCAAGA
rnacentral:lncRNA from 1 species